AAAACUGUAUUGGAGCCCCGUUGGGUAGAGUUUUUUAAGAAGACUCACACAAAGAAAAAUGGUUCUUUUGUAAACCCACAUUGUGAGACUUUAUAUGUAAGUAAAUGAAACGUUUAUUUGAUAAUUAUGAUUUCUUAUAAUGUAUUUAUAUAAUUAGCUUGCAUAAACUAUUUAAUCAUAAUUUAUAUUGAGUAUGCAAAAUCAAAUGAUGGAGGAAUCAGCUGAAGAAGGCAUUGACAACACAAAGGAAGCUUCCAUAAUGACACAAGUACUAGAGGGGCCACGAUCUGGCCACGUUAGAGGCAUGGGGCCUGGACGGAGCGUGGAAGGUGAUUCAAGCUAGGGCAACCUCUCUUGACAUAGUUCAACUGAAGGUGUCUAUCGGAUUGAUGGUGAUAGUGGACUUAUGCGUAGUUGCCCAAUGUUAAAAUAUGAGUUGUUGCAAUUGGAAAGAUUAGUGAUGAGAAAGGCAUGAGUUUGUGAUAGAAAAAAAAACAAAACUCAUUAACACCUUUUGUAGUAGUUUGUCUUUUGUACGUCUUUCCCCAUACUAUUAAGCUCAUGUAAUUGUUACUUUUUUGUAUUUUAUUUAAUUAUGAACCUUUGUGUAUC